GCCUGGGUGGCUCAGUCGGUUAAGCGUCCGACUUCAGCUCAGGUCACGAUCUCGCAGUCCGUGAGUUCGAGCCCCGCCUCAGGCU
rnacentral:tRNA from 1 species